AGUCUACUACGGAUGAUGAUAUGAUAGUUGAAUCAAAGUUGCCGGCUGAUGUGUGUGAAGAUGAUCUGGAAGGAAAUCAAAAAGAUGUUAAAGGCAAGUCCAAGGUAUAUGAAGCUCAGACACAACGAAAUCUUCGAAGCAGAGUUAAAAGGGUUGAUGCAGCGGCAAGCACUGGUUCUCCGGUCUUGAAA